AGCUACUGACACCCGGAGCAGGGGGCCUUGCUUUGCACAGCCCAUCUCACCAUGUGGGUCUAAGGCCUUUGUCACUGGCUUACAGGAGGGAUAUGAAGGAGAAGGCUUGAGCAGGCCUGGAGUGUGGCGAGCAGUUUAGUGGAACAUUCUUGGAAGAGUUUGGAAGAGCGGAAUCCAAAAAAGCUAAAGCUCCAUGGCCAAACUUCACAGACUUUGAGGAGAGAAGGAUCAUGGGAAAGAUGGCGAGACAGGUGGAGGAGAAAGAAGAAGAGCUGCCAUGGGAUCAGGAAAAGAAGUUGAUAAACCUUUUUCUCAAGUUGAGUUUAUGAAGAACUACUUCUUUGGGCACGAGCUUGUGGCAUAUUGUACCUAAGAACCACUGGGGACCCAUAGAAGAGUUCAAGUUGUAUUACAGAGUGAUAGCAAUGAAAACAGCAUGCGAUUGCCAUAAAAACAAAUGUGUCGGUCAAUAGAAAAGAACUGAAGACCAAGACAUAAUUUCCCAUACCUAUCAGUUCCUGAAAAGAAAAACAAAACAAACAACAAACAAACAAACCAGAAGAAGCAGAGUAGGAGAUAACUGUAAGGAACGGAGUCAUCCAGGACAGUCCUGAUUUGGUACAUACGUGCACUCAGAGACUGUGGUAGCACACAUAGGGCUUGCACAGGUUUAUAACAGAUGGAACUCCAGGCCUGAGAAGAUGAAGCGGGCACAAAGCCCAUCUCUAACACAAGAAGCUAUUUGCAGUUGAUGCUUUCUGGGUAAAAGAAACUCAUUUUGUGUAUUGGAAUUUCACUGGUUAUAUCAACUACAUUCCAGGACAAGCCCCAUGGCCAGGAGUUGUUGGCCUGUUCAAAGCAGACUCUGCGUUCUCUUGUGCGUCUUUUGAUUUUGUUUCGUUUGGGUUAUUUUUCUUUUUGUCUUGUCAGUUUCGUUUGGGCGUUUUUGCCUCACUUGUUUUGUUUGUUUGCUUGGCUGUAUUUUGUGAGAGAAAAACGAACAUAAAUUUGGGUGGGUGGGGAAGUGGAGAGGUGGGAGGGAGGCUCUGUGAGGACCGAAACAUA